UAGAGUUUGAUCAUGGCUCAGAUUGAACGCUGGCGGCAUGCUUUACACAUGCAAGUCGAACGGAGUUAAGGGGCUUGCUCCUUAAUUUAGUGGCGAACGGGUGAGUAAUAUAUCGGAACGUACCCGGCAAUGGGGGAUAACGUAGCGAAAGUUACGCUAAUACCGCAUAUGCCUUGAGAGGGAAAGCAGGGGAUCGAAAGACCUUGCGUUGUCGGAGCGGCCGAUAUCGGAUUAGCUAGUUGGUGGGGUAAAGGCUCACCAAGGCGACGAUCCGUAGCGGGUCUGAGAGGAUGAUCCGCCACACUGGGACUGAGACACGGCCCAGACUCCUACGGGAGGCAGCAGUGGGGAAUUUUGGACAAUGGGCGAAAGCCUGAUCCAGCCAUGCCGCGUGAGUGAAGAAGGCCUUCGGGUUGUAAAGCUCUUUCGGACAGAAAGAAAUCCUAUCCGCUAAUACCGGGUGGGGAUGACGGUACUGUAAGAAGAAGCACCGGCUAACUACGUGCCAGCAGCCGCGGUAAUA
rnacentral:rRNA from 1 species